UACGUAGGGGGCAAGCGUUGUCCGGAAUUAUUGGGCGUAAAGAGCGCGUAGGCGGUCCGAUAAGUCGGCUGUGAAAGUCAGGGGCUCAACCCUUGAAAGCCGGCCGAUACUGUCGGACUAGAGUCCGGAAGAGGCGAGUGGAAUUCCCGGUGUAGCGGUGAAAUGCGCAAAUAUCGGGAGGAACACCAAUGGCGAAGGCAGCUCGCUGGGACGGUACUGACGCUGAGACGCGAAAGCGUGGGGAGCGAACAGG
rnacentral:rRNA from 1 species